rnacentral:misc_RNA from 1 species
GUGAAUCAUCAAAUCUUUGAACGCAUAUUGCACUCUCUGGUAUUCCGGAGAGUAUGCCUAUUUGAGGGUCAUUUGAAAUAAUAUAAAUUCCAAGAUUUCUCGGAAUUUAAAAUGGGUUGUCCAUUUUUUGUGCUCACAUAAAAUUCAAGACAAGCUCAUUUUCUUGGGUUGCGUUAUACUUUCAGUUAUCUCGUGACUUAACCGGGAAUCAUCGGGUGGGUUAUGAAUUUUUCAAGAUAUAAAAAAUUCGAUAGAUUUAUCUCAUGCAAAAUAGAAAUCAAAUCAUGACCUCAAAUUAGGU